GGGAAUGUGGCUCAGAGGUAGAGUGCUUGCCUAGCAUGCAUGAAGCCAUGGGUUCGACUCCUCAGUAUCU
rfam:Dipodomys ordii contig_37696, whole genome shotgun sequence.